rnacentral:rRNA from 1 species
GACGAACGCUGGCGGCGUGCUUAACACAUGCAAGUCGAACGGAAAGGCCCUGCUUUUGUGGGGUGCUCGAGUGGCGAACGGGUGAGUAACACGUGAGUAACCUGCCCUUGACUUUGGGAUAACUUCAGGAAACUGGGGCUAAUACCGGAUAGGAGCUCCUGCUGCAUGGUGGGGGUUGGAAAGUUUCGGCUGUUGGGGAUGGAUUCGCGGCUUAUCAGCUGGUUGGUGGGGUAGGGGCUUACCAAGGCUUUGACGGGUAGCCGGCCUGAGAGGGUGAACGGGCACCAGGGGACUGAGAUACGGCCCAGAAGCCUACGGUAGGCAGUAGUGGGGAAUAUUGCACAAUGGGCGGAAGUCUGAGGCAGCAACGCCGCGUGCGGGAUGCCGGCCUUUGGGUUGUAAACCGCUUUCGCCGGUGACGAAGCGUGAGUGACGGUAACGGGUAAAGAAGCACCGGCUAACUACGUG